GAAAAUAGAAGAUAAAACUUUGGAUUGUCCGAAAGUAGAUCCUCGUACCUGGUGAUUCUCAGAGGUGAAAACAUGUUCCCACAGAGAUAAAUACAAUUCCGCUGAAGAUCUUUUGGAUUACAAGCUGUCUGCAGCAGGCUCCCAGCUUCUCUGCCCAAGAUUUUCACUUAUCCUCCUGAGUUGAUGAACUUGAUCUCCAGCUGAAGAUGUGAAAUACAAGGGGAAGCAGCUCACUUCCGGUGACAGGGCUGGCCUCGCCUCAUCACUCUGCCCCAGGACUAGGAGUUGAAUGGGACAGCACUGCAUUGCAGGACGGAUAGAGGUGUUGCUGUUGCCCUGGAGACAGCCCAAGGCUGCUUGGUCUCCCUUCAAUUUCC
rnacentral:lncRNA from 1 species